rnacentral:rRNA from 1 species
CCUACGGGGGGCAGCAGUCGAGAAUCAUUCACAAUGGGGGAAACCCUGAUGGUGCGACGCCGCGUGGGGGAAUGAAGGUCUUCGGAUUGUAAACCCCUGUCAUGUGGGAGCAAAUUAAAAAGAUAGUACCACAAGAGGAAGAGACGGCUAACUCUGGGCCAGCAGCCGCGGUAAUACAGAGGUCUCAAGGGUUGUUCGGAAUCACUGGGGGUAAAGCGUGCGUAGGCUGUUUCGUAAGGCGUGUGUGAAAGUGGCGGGCUCAACCCGCGGACGGCAGAUGAUACUGGGAGACUAGAGUGAGGGAGGGGGAAGCGGAAUGCUCGGUGUAGCAGUGAAAUGCGUAGAUAUCGAGAGGAACACUCGUGGCGAAGGCGGGUUCCUGGACAUUAACUGACGCUGAGGCACGAAGGCCAGGGGAGCGAAAGGGAUUAGAUACCCGUGUAGUC